rnacentral:lncRNA from 1 species
AGCCUGGGCCAACAUGACCCGUGGGCCAAGCACGGCAUGGCUCGCGUGCCAGCACUGCCCCCUUGAAACGAGCCAUGCCAUGGCACCACCUGUUUGGGUCAUACCAAGGCACAACCCAUUUAGGCACCUUCCGUUUAGGAUUUUUUAAAAUUUAUAAAAAAAUAUGCAUGAAUAAAUUAAAAAAAAUUGGAGACUAAGGAUUUAAAUAUAAAGCCAUCUUGUUAGAUGAGAGGUUUGGCAUGGAUCCCUUCUAGUUUAUUAAUAAAUAUCAAAAUGGUAUA